CAAGCGUUAUCCGGAAUUAUUGGGCGUAAAGCGUUUGUAGGCGGGCGAGUGUGUUUAAUGUUAAAUCUUAAAGCUCAACUUUGAAAUUGCGUUAAAAACUGCUUGUCUUGAGUAUGGUAGGGGUAAAGGGAAUUCCCAGUGUAGCGGUGAGAUGCGUAGAUAUUGGGAAGAACACUAACCAGCGAAGGCACUUUACUAGGCUAAUACUGACGCUGAGAAACGAAAGGUAAGGUAGCGAAACGGAUUAGAUACCCGUGUAGUCUUACCCGUAAACUAUGGACACUAAACGGUAAAUUUUUAAUUUACUGUUAAAGCUAACGCGUUAAGUGUCCCGCCUGGGGAGUAUGCUUGCAAAAGUGAAACUCAAAGGAAUUGACGGGGGCCCGCACAAGCGGUGGAGCAUGUGGUUUAAUUCGACGGUACACGAAGAACCUUACCAGGAUUUGACAUGCUAGAUAGUUGCUUGAAAGAGUAACGUGCCGUAAGGAAUCUAGACACAGGUGGUGCAUGGCUGUCGUCAGUUCGUGUUGUGAAAUGUUGGGUUAAGUCCCGCAACGAACGCAACCCUUGUCUUUAGUUAUUUUCUAAAGAGACUGCCUGUAAUAAACAGGAGGAAGGUAAGGAUGAGGUCAAGUCAUCAUGCCCCUUAUGUCCUGGGCUACACACGUGCUACAAUGGGAAAGACAAUGAGCUGCAAAUCUGUAAAUUUAAGCAAAUCUCUUAAACUUUCUCGUGGUUCGGAUUGUGGGCUGCAACUCGCCCACAUGAAGUUGGAAUCGCUAGUAAUCGCCAGUCAGCUAUACAGCGGUGAAUUCGUUCCCGGGCCU
rnacentral:rRNA from 1 species